rnacentral:rRNA from 1 species
CCUACGGGAGGCAGCAGUGAGGAAUAUUGGUCAAUGGGCGGGAGCCUGAACCAGCCAAGCCGCGUGAGGGAAGAAGGUACAGCGUAUCGUAAACCUCUUUUGUCAGGGAACAAAGGCGGGGACUAGUCCCCGGAUGAGGGUACCUGAAGAAAAAGCAUCGGCUAACUCCGUGCCAGCAGCCGCGGUAAUACGGAGGAUGCGAGCGUUAUCCGGAUUUAUUGGGUUGAAAGGAUGCGCAGGCGGAUUUUUAAGUCAGCGGUCAAAUCGUGGGGCUCAACCCCAUCCAGCCGUUGAAACUGGGGAUCUAGAGUGUGCGAGAGGUAUGCGGAAUGCGUGGUGUAGCGGUGAAAUGCAUAGAUAUCACGCAGAACCCCGAUUGCGAAGGCAUCUCACGAAUCCGCGAUUGACGCUGAUGCACGAAAGCGUGGGUAUCAAACAGGAUUAGAUACCCCUGUAGUC